GAGGGAAUAUUGCGCAAUGGGCGAAAGCCUGACGCAGCAACGCCGCGUGAGGGAUGACGGCCUUCGGGUUGUAAACCUCUUUCAGUGGGGACGAAAUUGACGGUACCCACAGAAGAAGCACCGGCCAACUACGUGCCAGCAGCCGCGGUAAUACGUAGGGUGCAAGCAUUGUCCGGAUUUAUUGGGCGUAAAGAGCUCGUAGGCGGCUUAACAAGUCGGUCGUGAAAUACCGAGGCUCAACCUCGGGGAGUCGGUCGAAACUGUUAUAGCUAGAGUACGGUAGAGGAGAGUGGAAUUCCCGGUGUAGCGGUGGAAUGCGCAGAUAUCGGGAGGAACACCAGUAGCGAAGGCGGCUCUCUGGGCCGUUACUGACGCUGAGGAGCGAAAGCGUGGGGAGCAAACAGGAUUAGAUACCCUGGUAGUCCACGCUGUAAACGUUGGGAACUAGGUGUUGCGGUCUGAUCAAUGACUGCGGUGCCGAAGCUAACGCAUUAAGUUCCCCGCCUGGGGAGUACGGCCGCAAGGCUA
rnacentral:rRNA from 1 species